rnacentral:ncRNA from 2 species
CACUGUCGCCAGGGGAGUCUCGUACCGACGGGGCUGAGAAAGCGCGUGACGCUGACCCUGGAACCUGAUCCGGUUCACACCGGCGGAGGAAGUGCGACAUGCCUUACUU